rnacentral:rRNA from 1 species
AUUGAACGCUGGCGGCAUGCCUUACCCAUGCAAGUCGAACGGUAACAGGUUAAGCUGACGAGUGGCGAACGGGUGAGUAAUAUAUCGGAACGUGCCCGGUCGUGGGGGAUAACGUAGCGAAAGCUACGCUAAUACCGCAUACGAUCUACGGAUGAAAGCGGGGGAUCGCAAGACCUCGCGCGAUUGGAGCGGCCGAUAUCAGAUUAGGUUGUUGGUGAGGUAAAAGCUCACCAAGCCUGCGAUCUGUAGCUGGUCUGAGAGGACGACCAGCCACACUGGAACUGAGACACGGUCCAGACUCCUACGGGAGGCAGCAGUGGGGAAUUUUGGACAAUGGACGCAAGUCUGAUCCAGCAAUGCCGCGUGCAGGACGAAGGCCUUCGGGUUGUAAACUGCUUUUGUACGGAACGAAACGGUGAGCUCUAAUACAGUUUGCUAAUGACGGUACCGUAAGAAUAAGCACCGGCUAACUACGUGCCAGCAGCCGCAGUAA